AUGCUGUGAUGCCCUUCGAUGUCCUGGGCUGCACGCGCGCUACACUGACAGAGACAG
rnacentral:rRNA from 1 species